rnacentral:rRNA from 1 species
AGAGUUUGAUCCUGGCUCAGAUUGAACGCUGGCGGCAGGCCUAACACAUGCAAGUCGAGCGGUAACACAGGGAGCUUGCUCCUGGGUGACGAGCGGCGGACGGGUGAGUAAUGUCUGGGAAACUGCCUGAUGGAGGGGGAUAACUACUGGAAACGGUAGCUAAUACCGUAUAACGUCGCAAGACCAAAGAGGGGGACCUUCGGGCCUCUUGCCAUCGGAUGUGCCCAGAUGGGAUUAGCUAGUUGGUGGGGUAAAGGCCUACCAAGGCGACGAUCCGUAGCUGGUUUGAGAGGACGACCAGCCACACUGGGACUGAGACACGGCCCAGACUCCUACGGGAGGCAGCAGUGGGGAAUUUUGGACAAUGGGGGAAACCCUGAUCCAGCCAUCCCGCGUGUAUGAAGAAGGCCUUCGGGUUGUAAAGUACUUUCAGCGAGGAGGAAGGCAUUAAGGUUAAUAACCUUAGUGAUUGACGUUACUCGCAGAAGAAGCACCGGCUAACUCCGUGCCAGCAGCCGCGGUAAUAC